UACGAAGGUCCCGAGCGUUGUUCGGAAUCACUGGGCGUAAAGGGAGCGUAGGCGGCGCGGUAAGUCAGAUGUGAAAUCCCGGGGCUCAACCCCGGAACUGCAUCCGAUACUGCCGUGCUAGAGGAUUGGAGAGGUAGCUGGAAUUCUUGGUGUAGCAGUGAAAUGCGUGGAGAUCAAGAGGAACACUCGUGGCGAAAGCGAGCUACUGGACAAUUCCUGACGCUGAGGCUACGAAGGCCCAGGGUAGCGAAAGGG
rnacentral:rRNA from 1 species